UACGAAGGGGGCAAGCGUUGUUCGGAAUCAUUGGGCGUAAAGCGUGCGCAGGCGGUUGUGCAAGACCGAUGUGAAAUCCCCGGGCUUAACCUGGGAAUGGCAUUGGUGACUGCACGGCUAGAGUGUGUCAGAGGGGGGUAGAAUUCCACGUGUAGCAGUGAAAUGCGUAGAGAUGUGGAGGAAUACCGAUGGCGAAGGCAGCCCCCUGGGAUAACACUGACGCUCAUGCACGAAAGCGUGGGGAGCAAACAGG
rnacentral:rRNA from 1 species